rnacentral:lncRNA from 1 species
CAAUAAAAAUACAUAAAACAAAAACCAAACACACAAAACAAGAAUUCGAAACAAACUAAUGUCCAGACCGAUUAUAUAGUCCCAAAAAUAAAAUAUACGAAAAUGUAAACCUAAUCUAUCCUAGACUAGUACUAAGCUAGAGCUCCAUCCGACGUCCCGAGCCUUCAUCACGAACGGUCUUCAAGUACAAAAUCUCUUAGGACAUUUUCUGAAUAUAUAAAUACAAAUACCUCAAGACAUUCUUCAACCAAAUGAAUACAAUUUUGAUUUAAGUGCAAUAAAAGAAAACCCAUUCAACAAGCAUCCAAAUAUUCAACAAAUUAUAAAAUCUUAUAGUUUGCCUACCCAAAAUUCUAUGAUUUGCCUAUUAAUUUUUUACCUAAUCAUGAUACUAUCGAAUGAGAAUAAAUUGAUAAUUAUUAUACAUAAAUAACAAUAACGGUGAAUUAAAAUAACCAAUUUAUUCAAUUUUUAUCUAUUUUGAAUUCUUAUCAUCAAUUUCAUUCUCAACCACAUAAUGAACCAAUUUCAAUAUGAAAUCAACCAUUCAAGCCACCACAAUUGAGGUUAUUCAACCACACUUAUCAAAAUCAAAUCAUCAACCACAUACGAGUCAGGCAACCAUAUAUGAGUCACAUAAUCAAAAAAUUAACUCACCACGUUAAGAUAAAAUGAUAAAGAAAUAGAGUUGAAAGAUUGGACCUUAGAUAAAUAAGAUCUAUAUUUUUUAUAAUAAUGAGAUUACGAAGCCUAAUCAAAAACUCGAUUGAAAUCCUCGAAAGGAAAUCCUCAGCAAUGAACAAAUCAACACGGUAUCGAAAACGACAAACCUGAAUAGAUUUAAAACCAAUAGAAAAUCUCAAGCGAAUGGACGAAUUACUGGAUUUUCGAUUGUUGAUUUAUAGUUUCAUAGAGAAAAUGCAUCCCGCUGGAUGGGUUUUUUGACGGGAGAGGAUUUUCGAUAUUUGGGUAGAGCUUUUUUAUGGGUUUUCGAUGGUUCUCCAACGGGGUCGAUGGAAAAUGGAUCUAUUUAGUGGGAUGGAUUUUGAUGGGUUUUGGGAUGGGGAGAGGGUCGGUUUUUCGGUGGAGUUUUUGUGUUGGUUACUGUAUUUAAUCAAAUUUGGGAGUGGUGACCGAAUUUUGUGACGGAGCGACAAUUCCGGUGAAGUUUCGGUGGAAAGAUCUGAACAAAAUUUUUUUUACCCCUUUUUCGUUCACUCGUCUCUAUGUCUCUUGUGUAUGAUUUUGUAUUCAUCAUUAAUGAAAUGGACCN